AGCCCAGAGCCUGAAUCAGUGUGUGUGUUAGUGGAAGCGUCUGGAAAGGCGCGCGAUACAGGGUGACAGCCCCGUACACAAAAAUGCACAUGCUGUGAGCUCGAUGAGUAGGGCGGGACACGUGGUAUCCUGUCUGAAUAUGGGGGGACCAUCCUCCAAGGCUAAAUACUCCUGACUGACCGAUAGUGAACCAGUACCGUGAGGGAAAGGCGAAAAGAACCCCGGCGAGGGGAGUGAAAAAGAACCUGAAACCGUGUACGUACAAGCAGUGGGAGCACAGAGCAAUCUGUGUGACUGCGUACCUUUUGUAUAAUGGGUCAGCGACUUAUAUUCUGUAGCAAGGUUAACCGAAUAGGGGAGCCGAAGGGAAACCGAGUCUUAACUGGGCGUUAAGUUGCAGGGUAUAGACCCGAAACCCGGUGAUCUAGCCAUGGGCAGGUUGAAGGUUGGGUAACACUAACUGGAGGACCGAACCGACUAAUGUUGAAAAAUUAGCGGAUGACUUGUGGCUGGGGGUGAAAGGCCAAUCAAACCGGGAGAUAGCUGGUUCUCCCCGAAAGCUAUUUAGGUAGCGCCUCGUGAAUUCAUCUCCGGGGGUAGAGCACUGUUUCGGCAAGGGGGUCAUCCCGACUUACCAACCCGAUGCAAACUGCGAAUACCGGAGAAUGUUAUCACGGGAGACACACGGCGGGUGCUAACGUCCGUCGUGAAGAGGGAAACAACCCAGACCGCCAGCUAAGGUCCCAAAGUCAUGGUUAAGUGGGAAACGAUGUGGGAAGGCCCAGACAGCCAGGAUGUUGGCUUAGAAGCAGCCAUCAUUUAAAGAAAGCGUAAUAGCUCACUGGUCGAGUCGGCCUGCGCGGAAGAUGUAACGGGGCUAAACCAUGCACCGAAGCUGCGGCAGCGACGCU
rnacentral:rRNA from 1 species